AACGUAUUUAUUCAUUUAUUUCCUGGUGGAAUUUCUAUCAUUCUCAUUGACGUCGCCCUCCAUAAACACAGAGUAAACGCGAAAACACACACAGCGAAUUCAAUAAUCUAGGGUUUUUAAUGGCCAAUCCAGUUACUUCAGGAUCGGGAAUCUUCAAGUUCCUCAGGCCCAGUAUGCGCCCUCAGGCCACGGACAUCCAGGCUGCUGCCCUGUGGGGUGUAACCGCCACCACCUCAGCCUUGUGGAUCAUCCAGCCUUUUGAUUGGUUGAAAAAGACACUUUUUGAGAGAUCCAACUCCGAAGAGAAGUGAAUGGAAAUGUGAAAUCUUACUGGUAACCUUUUUGAGAUUAUUAUUACCGAUUUGAACUUUGAGGAGGAUUCAGUUGAAUUAUACCAUUUUGUUUCAUGUUUUCCCAUGAAAAACCUCUACUUCAGUUUUUGGAUUAAUUUAGUAAAAAGCAUGGAUUCUCUCUCUC